ACAUCAUAUCAAGCGAACUCAGUUUCACAAACCUUCCUUUAAAAUGGGGAUUCUCAAGAAGAUAAAGUGCUUACAAGUCACCCAGGCCCAGUCAGACCUUGCAGAAAACACUCCUUCCAACUUCUCUCAGCUUAAACCUGGCACCAACAUGUGGUCUGAGAAAGGAUGAAGGCUGUUAUUCAGGGCCUCUGGCAUAUCAUGGACUGACAAAUUGUGUUUUCCGUGAGAUAGCAGAACGGGAUGCGCUGCAAGUGUUCAGUUACGUCUUGCUCAGCAUUUGGUUC
rnacentral:lncRNA from 1 species